GCCGGCAGGUAGCUCUCUGCAACUCUAUAAUCCUCGCCCCCUGAAGUUAAGCAGGGCUGCUCCUGGUCAGUACCUGGAUGGGAGACCACAUGGGAACACUAGGCUGCUGUUGGCA
rnacentral:rRNA from 1 species